rnacentral:rRNA from 1 species
UCGAGGAUCUUCGGCAAUGGGCGCAAGCCUGACCGAGCGACGCCGCGUGUGGGAUGAAGGCCCUUGGGUUGUAAACCACUGUCGAGGGGAAUGAAAUGCGUGUGGGUAAUCCCAUGCGUUUGACGGAACCCUGGAGGAAGCACGGGCUAAGUUCGUGCCAGCAGCCGCGGUAAUACGAACUGUGCGAACGUUAUUCGGAAUCACUGGGCUUAAAGGGUGCGUAGGCGGCUUGUUAAGCAGGGUGUGAAAGCCCUCGGCUCAACCGAGGAAUAGCGCUCUGAACUGGCGAGCUGGAGUGAUGCAGGGGUGCGCGGAACUUCCAGUGGAGCGGUGAAAUGUGUUGAUAUUGGAAGGAACACCGGAGGCGAAAGCGGCGCACUGGGCAUUGUCUGACGCUGAG